rnacentral:rRNA from 1 species
GACGAACCACACAAACGUUAUUCGGAAUUACUGGGCUUAAAGGGUGCGUAGGCGGCGCGGAAAGUUGGGUGUGAAAUCCCUCGGCUCAACCGAGGAACUGCGCUCAAUACUACCGUGCUCGAGGGAGACAGAGGUGAGCGGAACUUAGGGUGGAGCGGUGAAAUGCGUUGAUAUCCUAAGGAACACCCGUGGCGAAAGCGGCUCUCUGGGACGGUACUGACGCUGAGACGCGAAAGCGUGGGGAGCGAACAGG